rnacentral:lncRNA from 1 species
CCCAUUACUGAGUAUACAUACAAAGGAAAUAAAAUCAGUAUGUCAGAAAAAGAUAUCUGUACACCCAUGUUUAUUGCAGCAUUAUUGACAAUAGCCAAAAUAUGGAAAGAGUAGAACAGUGGAUACCUGAAGCUGGGGAGAGGAGACAGGGGUUGGGGGUGGGGGAAACUAGAAGAGGCUGGUCAAUGGGCACAAAGUUAUAGUUAGACAGGAAGAAAAGUUCUGGCGUUCUGUUACACAGCAGGGCGACUAUAGCAAAUAAUAAUGUAUUGUAUUUUUUGUGAUAACUAGAAAUGAAUAGGUACAAUGUACACUAUUUGGGUGAUGGUUACACGAAAAACACAGACUUCACCAUUAUGUAAUAUAUCCAUGUAACAAAACUGCACUUGCACCUGCUAAAUCUGUAAAAAUUAAAAUUAAAAAUUAAAAAGAGGCUGGGCGCGGUGGCUCACGCC